GGGGAUGAAAGGCCUCGACAUUGGUUCUUUUUACAAUUGACGCUGAGAGUGGAUGGUUGUUAACCACUUUAAUUUCUCGACUAAAUCUUGUAACUGGCAAUCAAAAUACCAAUUACGCUUUCGCCUAAUUCAACCAGCUUAGCUGGUCAAGGUUAAGUAGGAAGCCAUUCUACCGCGAUGCUCGCUAGCGGAUUCUGGAGUGUCAUAAGCGAACUUUAGCAGAACCGUUGUCCUUCCGAAUUCUGCCGAAAAAUUGUAAGGGCUAGUGGGCGUUUAUUUUGUUCAUUUUUUAACCGCUCGCGAAAUAUCAAAUGCGCUACCUCAGUACACGUCAUUGUAAUAAACCUUUGGACGGCGGUUCAACUCCGCCCAUCUCCACCG
rnacentral:tmRNA from 1 species